rnacentral:rRNA from 1 species
GAUGAACGCUGGCGGCGUGCCAAAUACAUGCAAGUCGAGCGAACGGACGAGAAUCUUGCUUCUCUGAUGUUAGCGGCGCACGGGUGAGUAACACGUGGAUCACCUACCUAUAAGACUGGGAUAACUUCGGGACACCGGAGCUAAUACCGGAUGAUAUUUUGAACCGCAUGGUUCAAAAGUGAAAGACGGUCUUGCUGUCACUUAUCGCUGGAUCCGCGCUGUAUUAGCUAGUUGGUAAGGUAACGGCUUACCAAGGCAACGAUGCAUAGCCGACCUGAGAGGGUGAUCGGCCACACGGGAACGUAGACACGGUCCAGACUCCUGCGGGAGGCAGCAGUAGGGAAUCUUCCGCAGUGGGCGAAAGCCUGACGGAGCAACGCCGCGUGAGAGAUGAAGGUCUUCGGAUCGUAAAACUCGGUUAUUAGGGAAGAACAUAUGUGUAAGUAACUGUGCACAUCUUGACGGUACCUAAUCAGAAAGCCACGGCUAACUACGUG